ensembl:misc_RNA Metazoa_SRP Metazoan signal recognition particle RNA
GCCGAGCUUAGUGUCGCAUGCCUGUAGUCCCAGCUACUCGGAGGCUGCGGUGGGAGGAACACUUGAGCCCAGGAGUUCUGGGCUGUAGUGCGCUAUGCCGAUUGGGUGUCCGCGCUAAAUUUGGCAUCAAUAUGGUGACCUCCCGGGAGCUGGGGACCACCAGGUUGCCUAAGGAGGGGUGAACCGGCCCAGGUGGGAAACUGAGCAGGUCAAAACUCCCUUGCUGAUCAGUAGUGGGAUGGCGCCUGUGAAUAGCCACUGCACUCCAGCCUGUGCGACAUAGGGAGACACCGUUU